GUGACGGCUGGUAAGCAGGUGAGGAAUGGCAGGUCAAAAGCAAGAGGUUGAGGCAUACAGGUGCAGCAAGGGUGGAUUGCUCCUGGCUUCAACAACAAGCUGUUCAUGAGCAACUUUCAGGUGUUUCAGGAGUCCUUUAACUACAUUUGUUGCCACCAUUCUGCAAAGAAAAAACACCAACCCUUUGCUUAUACCAGUAAAUAAAGACAUCACCGACACGAGUCGCCUAUUUGUCACUGAUGGAAAGCACCUCAUUGUGUUGGAGCGAUAGACAGCAGCCACUUCCCCAUAAUAGCACCAGAACCACACUCCUAUCACAACAGAAAAGGAUGGCAUCCUGUCACGCAGGCUGUUGUUGAUGGAAAAGGUCCAUUCAAGGAUGUGUGUGGCAAAUAUCCUAAGCAAGUACAUGAUGCACAAGUGCUGAAACAGUCCUGUGACUGUUUCAGCCAACACACUGUCAAUAUCUCUGGUCGUGACGUAGAACACUUGGCUGAUGAAGCAUUUCUCUGAUACAGGCCGACUAACCCAGCAGCAGCAGAGGUACUAUCCCAGAAUAAGCAUCGUAUUGUGGAGACGACUUUUGCAAGAUGAAAAGACAUGCCAAGUGAUGGCGUCACGGUCCGUGCUUCAGGUCAAGGAAAACCUGCUAUUUUUUUGGUUCCAGCUAGAGUCUCCUUUUCCAAACCAAUUUAUUUUUGGUUGAAAAGGUUCAAAACUAGGUGCGUGAACCGGAACAGAACCUGUUUCAUAUUGCUAGAAAAGGGGUGUGAGGGGAGCUACUGUACAAGCGGAGGGAAGAGAAGAAUAAACAAGUGAAAAGACGAACGGCAUGAAGUAAACUGUGACUGCACAGGAAAAGGCAUCAUGUAUGUAUCA